rnacentral:misc_RNA from 1 species
UCCGGUUUGUCACCGGCAGUCUCAUUAAAGUGCCCAACUUAAUGAUGGCAAUUAAUGACAAGGGUUGCGCUCGUUGCGGGACUUAACCCAACAUCUCACGACACGAGCUGACGACAGCCAUGCAGCACCUGUGUAUCUGUUCUCUUGCGAGCGCCCCCACAUCUCUGUAGGGUUCGAACCAUGUCAAGGGUAGGUAAGGUUUUUCGCGUUGCAUCGAAUUAAUCCACAUCAUCCACCGCUUGUGCGGGUCCCCGUCAAUUCCUUUGAGUUUUAAUCUUGCGACCGUACUUCCCAGGCGGCACGUUUAACGCGUUAGCUACGCCACAAAAGGGGUCGAUUCCUUUUACAGCAAACGUGCACCGUUUACGGCUAGGACUAC